GACAUAAUGCAACUAGCACAAUCUAAUAAUCACCACCACCACCACCACUAAACGGUGAGACCACAUGCUGGUGGAGCGGUUGGUGGCCGCAGAGACCAGGGGGAAGCGACUGUUUACUAAAAACACAGGUCCAUGCGAAGUCGUAAGACGAUGUAUAUGGACUGACGCCUGCCCGGUGCUGGAACGUUAAGGGGACCUGUUAGUCCGUGAGGGCGAGGCGGAGAACUUAAGCGCCAGUAAACGGCGGUGGUAACUAUAACCAUCCUAAGGUAGCGAAAUUCCUUGUCGGGUAAGUUCCGACCUGCACGAAUGGCGUAACGACUUCCCCACUGUCUCAACCACAGGCCCGGCGAAAUUGCAGUACGAGUAAAGAUGCUCGUUACGCGCGGCAGGACGGAAAGACCCCGGGACCUUCACUAUAGCUUGACAUUGGUACUCGAAUUCGAUUGUGUAGGAUAGGUGGGAGCCUGUGAAGCGGCCACGCCAGUGGUUGUGGAGGCAAGCUUGAAAUACCACUCUGUUGGAUUUGGGUAUCUAACUUCGGACCGUGAUCCGGUUCAGGGACAGUGUCUGGUGGGUAGUUUAACUGGGGCGGUUGCCUCCUAAAAUGUAACGGAGGCGCCCAAAGGUUCCCUCAGCCUGGUUGGCAAUCAGGUGUUGAGUGCAAGUGCACAAGGGGGCUUGACUGUGAGACUGACAGGUCGAGCAGGGACGAAAGUCGGGACUAGUGAUCCGGCACUGGCAGGUGGAAGCGGUGUCGCUCAACGGAUAAAAGGUACCCCGGGGAUAACAGGCUGAUCUUCCCCAAGAGUCCAUAUCGACGGGAUGGUUUGGCACCUCGAUGUCGGCUCGUCGCAUCCUGGGGCUGGAGUAGGUCCCAAGGGUUGGGCUGUUCGCCCAUUAAAGCGGUACGCGAGCUGGGUUUAGAACGUCGUGAGACAGUUCGGUCCCUAUCCGCCGCGCGCGUAGGAUACUUGAGAAGGGCUGUCCCUACUACGAGAGGACCGGGACGGACGAACCUCUGGUGUGCCAGUUGUUCUGCCAAGAGCACGGCUGGUUGGCUACGUUCGGAAGGGAUAACCGCUGAAAGCAUCUAAGCGGGAAGCUCGCUUCGAGAUGAGGUAUCCCACCCCUUGAGGGUUAAGGCCCCCAGUUAGACCACUGGGUUGAUAGGCCGGAAGUGGAAGCCUGGUAACAGGUUUGAGCUGACCGGUACUAAUAGGCCGAGGACUUGACCG
rnacentral:rRNA from 1 species